AUGAAUCUGUUAGCCUGGAACUGUCGAGGACUGGGGUUGGACUCAACAGUUGGCGAAUUACGAGACCUGAUACGGUCCUACAACCCAGAGGUGGUGUUUCUUUGUGAGACUAAAAAGUCCGCUAGGGCUAUGGAAAAGUUGAAGUGGAGCUUGGGUUUUCAGAGUGGUGUUGCGGUGGACUGCAAGGGAAGGAGUGGAGGACUUGCGCUUUGGUGGAGAGAGCAUAUUCAUGUUAAGGUUCGGCCUUGGUGCCAAUAUUUUAUGGAUGCGGAGUUGGUAUGUGAGGGUAAGACCUUCAGAAUCACUGGAUUCUAUGGGGAACCUCGUACAGAAUUGCGGAAAAAAUCCUGGGAUGCUAUCCGCUAUCUUCGGGCGCAAGAUGAUCUCUCGUGGCUGUGUGUUGGUGAUUUUAAUGAGGCUUUAUUCUAUACUGACCAAAUUGGGGGUAACCGAUGA
rnacentral:rRNA from 1 species